rfam:Triticum aestivum genome assembly, contig: Triticum_aestivum_CS42_TGACv1_scaffold_099158_2AL
CAAGUACUCCCUCCGUCCGGAAUUACUUGUCAUCAAAAUGGAUGUGUCUAGAACUAAAAUACAUCUAGAUACAUCCAUUUGAAUGACAAGUAUUUUCGGACGGAGGGAGUACAAG